UACGUAGGGUGCAAGCGUUGUCCGGAAUUAUUGGGCGUAAAGAGCUCGUAGGCGGUCUGUCGCGUCGGAUGUGAAAACUCGGGGCUCAACCCCGAGCCUGCAUUCGAUACGGGCAGACUAGAGUUCGGUAUGGGAGACUGGAAUUCCUGGUGUAGCGGUGAAAUGCGCAGAUAUCAGGAGGAACACCGGUGGCGAAGGCGGGUCUCUGGGCCGAUACUGACGCUGAGGAGCGAAAGCGUGGGGAGCGAACAGG
rnacentral:rRNA from 1 species